UGCCUGUACCACCUCCUGCAGUUUCAGCUCUUGCAGUAAUUACUGAGAGUAAUUAGAUAUCAUGUGUCAUACAAUAUGACCCCUAAGUACAAAUGACUAUUUCAUCUGGUGUUCAACUGUGCAAGUAGGAGGGGAAAAUGGCUGUGUUGGGUUAAGAGACAGUAUAUUGCUUUCCAAUAUCUUCCCAAGGAAUUUUCCAGGGUGUAUUUAGCUCAAUGUGACUUGUUCAUUUCACUGUACAUGCUGAUUUUAGCUCUUAUCCCUGAGUUAAGAUGUGACUCCAGAGUGUCCACAUUGCCUGUAUCCUCUUUCUCAACUUUUUAUGAUUUAGUCAGAUGAGAAGACCACAUGGUGCUAAAUCAGGAAUCCUGGAAUGUCAGUCUCCCAGAGAGGAAAUACUUCAGAAACAAACACUUUAAUAUGAGGAGUCAGGGAAAGAGGACAUAUUACUGGGGUCUAUGUGACCUAGAUAGGCUUUAUGGAA